CACCAUGGACACCUGUCACUUGGAACCCAGUGACCGUGAGCCAGGCCUGGCGGGAUUUCUCCUGGGCUUGCUUCUUCUCUUCCUGCGAGUCCUGAGGCUCCACAAUGGCGGACAGGUAGUUCUGUGCCAAACGCCUUCCAUAAGUGGUCACACCAAAGCCAUCAACAGAGCCAAGGACCCUACGGUGGUUCUCAGCCAUGGAUCGGAGCAUGCGCUGAGCCUUCACAUCUAGUGUGACACCAUGUUCUCCCAGCACCUGACCCCAUUUCUUGUUCCACUAACUGGCUUUUGUCUGCACACCUAAGUCGCCCGCUGACCUGUGGUCAGAGAGGAAAGGGUCAGGGGAUUAGCCAACCGCCAUGGUCUCACUGGGGACUGUCACACACCUUGGCCAUCUCUUGGUACAGUUCCUUCUUGGCAAGCACGGCGGAGUUGAAGGUCAUGACACUGUAGUUGUGGACACCCUUGUCCAGCAGAGUCGAGAUUCGCAUCAUCUUGGCCUUGGGGACAGGAGGCCUCUUGGUGGCCUGGAAGGCCUUCAGGAUGUUUUUCUAAAGGAGAAGAAGUUCCCCAGAGUCAGGAGCCACCGCAGGUGACCCUCACCCCUGGCUGGCACCUGGUGGGCAGGGAGAUCGGUUGGUUCCUGAGUGUGCUGUGUCCUCAUCUCAGAACCACGACACGGGAACACCUGGUUCAACCUGCCACUGUCCAAACUGGAAUUCCCAGGACCAGAAACUGGCCCGAGGUCACCAGGUGGGACGCACAUGCUGAGUGAGAGGCUUUCAGGGUGUGGGUGGGGGACAUUGUGACUUAACCAGGGCUGGCCUCCUAGACAGCGGUCACCUCGGAGGGUCAAGUGCUCGGUGCACGUGAGCUGCAUUCUCAGCAGGCCCCAGAGGACACAGGACUCAGUGCCCCAGCAGAGGACGCUGAGGGAACUAAGGUGGCCCAGGGACUCCUUGUGUAAAUGAAAAGAGCAGCGACACAGGUCACCUGGGCACAGGGGGGAAACCAGAAGGUUCCGCGGAGGGCUGGGAUACGAGGAAGAAUGCAGAGGACCAGGACCAGGACCAACUGUGAUGGACACACACCAGAGAAGAGCCCGUCUGUCUAAGGAGGCCCUGUGGCAAGGGACAGAGCUCACCAAAAUUUAAAAGAGAAAAGGUACUAGCAAUUUGAAACAGAAGGGACUUUAAGGAAAAAAUACUGGUGUAUAAAAGUACUUACAGCCAGGCGUGAUGCUGCAUACCCAUAAUCCCAAUGGCUCAGGAGGCUGAGGCAGGAGGAUCAUGAGUUGGAGGCCAGCCUCAUCAAUUUAGCAAGGCCCUAAGCAACUCAGUGAUUCUCUGUCUCUAAAUAAAUACAAAAUAGGCCUGUGGGUCAGGGGCCAAUGGCCCCCUGAGUUCAAUCCCUGGUACCCCAAAAUAAAAAUACUCAACGGAGAUGGAUGAAUUAUGUCGUGGACAGAAUGGAAAAUCAAUUUAGGAUCCCAGAAAACCCUGGACUUAAAAAAUAAAUAAAUAAGACAAUCUAGUGUAGAAGAUAAAGAUGGAAGUAAUGACGUCCACUCAAAAAUCAGAGUAGCCAGGCAUAGUGGCCCGGGAUUGUAAUCCCAGCCAUUUGGGAGGCUGAGGCAGGAGGAUUGCAAGUUCAAGGCCAGCCUCAGCAACGUACUGAGACCCUGUCUUAGAAAAUAAAAAGGACUGGGAAUGUAGCUCCAUGGUAGAACAGCCCUGGUUCAGUCCCCGUGAACAAGUAUAACUAUUGAAUAGUCAUGGAAUUCAGAAGAGUGGUUAACCGCUAAGGUGCAUGAUGCUUUGGGGGGUGAUGGAACAUUCUAGAAUUCUGAUUUGAAUCAUGGUUCCACGGAUAGAUAAAAAUGAGCAACUCUA